CCUACGGGAGGCAGCAGUGGGGAAUAUUGGACAAUGGGGGGCAACCCUGAUCCAGCCAUGCCGCGUGUGUGAAGAAGGCCCUCGGGUUGUAAAGCACUUUCAGUGAGGAAGAACGCCUGGUGGUUAAUACCCAUCAGGAAAGACAUCACUCACAGAAGAAGCACCGGCUAACUCCGUGCCAGCAGCCGCGGUAAUACGGAGGGUGCGAGCGUUAAUCGGAAUUACUGGGCGUAAAGCGCGCGUAGGUGGCUUGAUAAGCCGGUUGUGAAAGCCCCGGGCUCAACCUGGGAACGGCAUCCGGAACUGUCAAGCUAGAGUGCAGGAGAGGAAGGUAGAAUUCCCGGUGUAGCGGUGAAAUGCGUAGAGAUCGGGAGGAAUACCAGUGGCGAAGGCGGCCUUCUGGACUGACACUGACACUGAGGUGCGAAAGCGUGGGUAGCAAACAGGAUUAGAUACCCUUGUAGUC
rnacentral:rRNA from 1 species